GUAGUAUUCCCUCCGUCCCAAAAUUCUUGUCUUGCAUUUGUUUAGAUACGGAUGUAUCUAACACUAAACUGUAACUAGAUACAUCCGUAUUUAGACAAAUUUAAGACAAGAAUUUUGGGAUAGAGGGAGUACAAA
rfam:Triticum aestivum genome assembly, contig: Triticum_aestivum_CS42_TGACv1_scaffold_131758_2BL